rnacentral:rRNA from 1 species
GGUUAAGCGACUAAGCGUACACGGUGGAUGCCCUGGCAGUCAGAGGCGAUGAAGGACGUGCUAAUCUGCGAAAAGCGUCGGUAAGGUGAUAUGAACCGUUAUAACCGGCGAUGUCCGAAUGGGGAAACCCAGUGCAAUUCGUUGCACUAUCGUUAACUGAAUACAUAGGUUAACGAGGCGAACCGGGGGAACUGAAACAUCUAAGUACCCCGAGGAAAAGAAAUCAACCGAGAUUCCCCCAGUAGCGGCGAGCGAACGGGGAGCAGCCCAGAGUCUGAAUCAGCUUGUGUGUUAGUGGAACGGUCUGGAAAGUCCGACGGUACAGGGUGAUAGUCCCGUACACCAAAAUGCACAGGUUGUGAACUCGAAGAGUAGGGCGGGACACGUGGUAUCCUGUCUGAAUAUGGGGGGACCAUCCUCCAAGGCUAAAUACUCCUGACUGACCGAUAGUGAACCAGUACCGUGAGGGAAAGGCGAAAAGAACCCCGGCGAGGGGAGUGAAAAAGAACCUGAAACCGUGUACGUACAAGCAGUGGGAGCACCUUUAUGGUGUGACUGCGUACCUUUUGUAUAAUGGGUCAGCGACUUAUAUUCUGUAGCAAGGUUAACCGUAUAGGGGAGCCGCAGGGAAACCGAGUCUUAACUGGGCGUUAAGUUGCAGGGUAUAGACCCGAAACCCGGUGAUCUAGCCAUGGGCAGGUUGAAGGUUGGGUAACACUAACUGGAGGACCGAACCGACUAAUGUUGAAAAAUUAGCGGAUGACUUGUGGCUGGGGGUGAAAGGCCAAUCAAACCGGGAGAUAGCUGGUUCUCCCCGAAAGCUAUUUAGGUAGCGCCUCGUGAACUCAUCUUCGGGGGUAGAGCACUGUUUCGGCUAGGGGGUCAUCCCGACUUACCAACCCGAUGCAAACUACGAAUACCGAAGAAUGUUAUCACGGGAGACACACGGCGGGUGCUAACGUCCGUCGUGAAGAGGGAAACAACCCAGACCGCCAGCUAAGGUCCCAAAGUCAUGGUUAAGUGGGAAACGAUGUGGGAAGGCACAGACAGCCAGGAUGUUGGCUUAGAAGCAGCCAUCAUUUAAAGAAAGCGUAAUAGCUCACUGGUCGAGUCGGCCUGCGCGGAAGAUGUAACGGGGCUAAACCAUGCACCGAAGCUGCGGCAGCGACACUAUGUGUUGUUGGGUAGGGGAGCGUUCUGUAAGCCUGCGAAGGUG